GUACUGAUGAAGAGUCCCAAACUAGGAUGUAACAGCUGUCCAGUAC
rnacentral:hammerhead_ribozyme from 1 species